rnacentral:misc_RNA from 1 species
UGGUUCUGGCAUCGAUGAAGAACGCAGCGAAAUGCGAUAAGUAAUGUGAAUUGCAGAAUUUAGUGAAUCAUCGAAUCUUUGAACGCACAUUGCACUCCUUGGUAUUCCGGGGAGUAUGCUUGUCCGAGCGUCAUUUCACCCCUCAAGUUCACGCUUGGUAUUGGACUAUUAUCAUUGAAAAAUGAUAUGUCCGAAAGUGAGUGGCAGGUCAUUGAACUUCAGCGCAGUGAAACAUAUUCGUCAUGAAGCUUCAAUCACCUCGCCAGAAACACCUUUUCAAUAUCUUGACCUCGGAUCAAGUAGGGAUACCCGCUGA